rnacentral:rRNA from 1 species
AGUACGACCGCAAGGUUAAAACUCAAAUGAAUUGACGGGGACCCGCACAAGUAGUGGAGCAUGUGGUUUAAUUCGAAGAUACGCGCAGAACCUUACCAACACUUGACAUGUUCGUCGCGACUCUAAGAGAUUAGAGUUUUCGGUUCGGCCGGACGAAACACAGGUGCUGCAUGGCUGUCGUCAGCUCGUGUCGUGAGAUGUUGGGUUAAGUCCCGCAACGAGCGCAACCCUCACUUUUAGUUGCCAUCAUUAAGUUGGGCACUCUGAAAGAACUGCCAGUGAUAAGCUGGAGGAAGGUGGGGAUGACGUCAAGUCCUCAUGGCCCUUACGUGUUGGGCUACACACGUGCUACAAUGGCAUCUACAACAGGAAGCAAAACGGCAACGUUAAGCAAAUCCCGAAAAGAUGCCUCAGUUCGGAUUGCACUCUGCAACUCGAGUGCAUGAAGCUGGAAUUACUAGUAAUCGUGGAUCAGCGUGCCACGGUGAAUGCGUUCCCGGGUCUUGUAUACACCGCCCGUCACACCAUGGGAGUUGGUUCUACCUUAAGGCAAGGUUUCAAACCCUUGACCACGGUAUAGUCAGCGACUGGGGUGAAGUCGUAACAAGGUAACC